CCUCAAGAAGCAGUUUGAGUCGCCCAUCACUACUUUGACGUAAUAGUAUUAUCGGUUCUGAGUCAAACAACUAAUUAAACGUAGACGAAGUGGAACAGAAGAACGCGUGUGCAACUUCUUGACCAAAUAUAAAUUAACAUGGAGGAACGUUGUAAUAUCUGCUGAUGUUCACAAUGUUUCUGUGAAAACUGCAGCUCGAACUAUGACCAAGUUUUUUAAUGUAGCUUCGCAAGUAAAUCACGACCAGUGCCGUGGUUUUGUCGUCAGAGAAACAGCCGCUGUUUUCAAGACGUAACAAAAACAGAUCGCGUCAAAUUAAGGAACAAACGAAGUGUCUGUACCGAUGGCACCGAAUACGACACAUGUGUCCUACACAUGUAUAGCGUUACGUGAUAGAAAUUGACUUUCCAUUUAAAGAUCCACCAGUGAACUAUACAACGACCGCAGACGUGAAGUUGUUGAUUCCAAAAUAAAACGUACCGAUGGCACCGAAUACGACACAUGUGUCCUACACAUGUAUAGCGUUACGUGAUAGAAAUUGACUUUCCAUUUAAAGAUCCACCAGUGAACUAUACAACGACCGCAGACGUGAAGUUGUUGAUUCCAAAAUAAAACGUUGAUUCUGUUAGAGUGAAGAUACUUCAUGUUAAUUCUUCGACUGCAACUAUUGACAUCCAGGGAGUACCUGUUAAAACACAAAUCUUCUAUAUAGCAGAUCACACAUUUUGUGAAGAUUCAUUUUGUGAAGAUGUGGCAUGCACAUUUGUCAUAUGACAUCAGGAAUGUGGCAACCAGAGAAUUUGAUGGAUUGUACAUAACGACAACUCAACAUUCACAGAUUAGAAUGCUGAAAGUUCUGUGUGGUGAGAUUGUAAAGCUUCCAUUUACAGUUGAGAAAAAACUUAUAUCACAACACUGACUGUUCAAGUGUCUACAACUUAAGUUAAUGUAUGCUAUCAAUGUGUAAAGUAUAACACCUGAAAAAUGGUUUUAAUUCAAAACACAAAUUUCAUCAUUGAGAAAUGUGGCCUACUGCAGAGGAGUGAAAGUUUUCAGCUGAGUGUAACAGCCAAAGUCUCAGUGUCAGGUGACUUUGGUGAAGAAAACUUGAACUCGUCCAAUUCAGUUUUGAAGCAUUAUUUAGAGACACAAGAACUUCUUCAGUUACUAUCUGACAGACACCGAUCUGGGGAAGCAUUUACUUAACAUUGAGUUGUACUUUUUCAAAAACUGCAGGAAAACACUGUUAUUUCACUGAGGAUAACGGACAAGAUGUGAAUGACACUAACAGUUCCAUUGGAAAGUCUGAAGCAGCAGACCCAGAUUAAUUGUUUAAUGACUCUUAAGAAACUGGACAUGGUCAUUUCUUAAAUUUGCAUGUAUCAGCAGAACUUCAAUAAUUGUUCAUGACAACUGCAGCCACAACCGAAACAUUGUGAACAUAGAUAGAGAAUAUGUCAUUCCUCCACCCAUUCCUCCUGUCUCUUUUUUCUUACCAACUUUUUUCUUUAUUCUUAUUGACUUAAAUGGUGCAUUCCCACCACCUACUGAUUGGACUGUGAAUAAGAUAAUGCCAGUAGUAACAUAAAUCCUGUUAAAUAAAUGAGCAUCUUAUAAAAAAUAAAUACUGCUUUAUAUUUUAAAUUACUAUGUAACAUUAUCUAAUAAUCAUUCAAUAAAAACACGUACAUUUCCAUUUCUCUUAAUCUUUGAAAUAAUUUGAAUCUUUCUCUUCACAUAUAUGUCACAUUUUGUUUGCUUCUACUGCUCACUUCAUCUACAUUUAAUUAGCAAUAGGCUUGUUCAACUUAUGCAGUGCUAUAAAAGAACCAACAGACAGACGACAUCUAUAGCGCUAAAGCA